AUGGCGUGGGUUGAUUGCGGUGAUGAUCCGACAGUUCGUGGUCUUAUUUGGGCUUGAUUAAAAGUCUUUAACAUAAUCUAAUCAGGUUUAAGGCCUUUAAAAAGCCCUGAUGCUCAACAGAGAACUGGGUGGGAUGUGGUGGCACGGAUGGCUUCGUGCAAAAACCAAGAGAAAAGAGCCCAUGGAGAGAGAGAGAGAGAGGUUAAGAUGUUGAAAGAAGUAAUAGCAGAGCUCUUGGACAGCGGACAGCAGUCACCUCAGAGAUUUAGGGGGGUCUU
rnacentral:lncRNA from 1 species